rnacentral:rRNA from 1 species
GCAGAAAGAAGCGCCGGGCUAACUACGUGCCAGCAGCCGCGGUAAUACGUAGGGCGCUAGCGUAUCCGGAAAUUAUUGGGCGUAAAGAGCUCGUAGGCGGUUUGUCGCGUCUGCCGUGAAAGUCCGGGGCUCAACUCCGGAUCUGCGGUGGGUACGGGCAGACUAGAGUGAUGUAGGGGAGACUGGAAUUCCUGGUGUAGCGGUGAAAUGCGCAGAUAUCAGGAGGAACACCGAUGGCGAAGGCAGGUCUCUGGGCAUUAACUGACGCUGAGGAGCGAAAGCAUGGGGAGCGAACAGGAUUAGAUACCCUGGUAGUCCAUGCCGUAAACGUUGGGCACUAGGUGUGGGGGACAUUCCACGUUUUCCGCGCCGUAGCUAACGCAUUAAGUGCCCCGCCUGGGGAGUACGGCCGCAAGGCUAAAACUCAAAGGAAUUGACGGGGGCCCGCACAAGCGGCGGAGCAUGCGGAUUAAUUCGAUGCAACGCGAAGAACCUUACCAAGGCUUGACAUGAACCGGACCGCUGCAGAAAUGUGGUUUCCCCUUUGGGGCUGGUUUACAGGUGGUGCAUGGUUGUCGUCAGCUCGUGUCGUGAGAUGUUGGGUUAAGUCCCGCAACGAGCGCAACCCUCGUUCUAUGUUGCCAGCACGUGAUGGUGGGGACUCAUAGGAGACUGCCGGGGUCAACUCGGAGGAAGGUGGGGACGACGUCAAAUCAUCAUGCCCCUUAUGUCUUGGGCUUCACGCAUGCUACAAUGGCCGGUACAAAGGGUUGCGAUACUGUGAGGUGGAGCUAAUCCCAAAAAGCCGGUCUCAGUUCGGAUUGGGGUCUGCAACUCGACCCCAUGAAGUCGGAGUCGCUAGUAAUCGCAGAUCAGCAACGCUGCGGUGAAUACGUUCCCGGGCCUUGUACACACCGCCCGUCAAGUCACGAAAGUUGGUAACACCCGAAGCCGGUGGCCUAACCCCUUGUGGGAGGGAGCUUCGAAUAUA